AAUAUUGGUCAAUGGGCGCAAGCCUGGACCAGCCAAUCCGCGUGUAGGAUGAAUACCCUAUGGGUUGUAAACUAUUUUUUGACAAGAAGAAACCUCCAUACGUUUAUGGAGCUGACUGUAUUGUAAGAAUAAGCACCGGCUAUCUCCGUGCCAGCAGCCGCGGUAUUACGGAGGGUGCAAGCGUUAUCUGGAUUUAUUAGGUGUAAAGGGGGGGUAGGGUGAUGAUUAAGUCAGAGGAGAAAUCUUACAGCUUAACUGUAGAACUGCCACUGAUACUGGUCAUCUUGAAUUUAGUUGAGGUAGGCGGAAUGUGUUGUUUAGCGGUGAAAUGAUUAGAUAAUACACAGAACACGGAAAGGGAAGCUAGCUUCUUAAGCUAUAAUUUCGCUGAGGCAAGAAAGCGUGGGGAACAAACAGAAAUAGAUUCCCUGGUCGUCCACGCCGUA
rnacentral:rRNA from 1 species